rnacentral:rRNA from 1 species
CGUGUAGCCGGGAGGGCAAGUCAGAUGUGAAAUCCACGGGCUCAACUCGUGAACUGCAUUUGAAACUACUCUUCUUGAGUAUCGGAGAGGCAAUCGGAAUUCCUAGUGUAGCGGUGAAAUGCGUAGAUAUUAGGAGGAACACCAGUGGCGAAGGCGGAUUGCUGGACGACAACUGACGUUGAGGCUCGAAAGCGUGGGAGCAAACA